CCUCGAUCCCAGGCCGAGUUUUCGCUUUUAUAACGGUUAGGCGAACAACUGGGCCUGGUACUAGUUGUCUGCGCAUGCGUCAGUCGUUCGUCAGAUUCUGACGAAUGGAUAUUCUCGUUCACUUUCGUGACAUUUAUAUUCGUGUACUAUCGUGUACUAGAAGUCAGUUCCCGUUUUAUCAUUAUUGGAAUCGAUUGGAAUGGCUCUUAGCUGAAGCUUCUCUCUUCUCUGAAGCUUAUUCUGAAGACUGAACAACAAGGGAAGAGGUAUAAAGCUUUGUCAAGCUUGUUAAGGUCAGAUAUUUUUGUGUGGGCCCUAUGGCCGGCUAUGCUAUCAAGUCUUGUUCAUGUUUGGCAAGAAUGUAGGUAGACUAUAGUUUCAUCAUUAAUAUGGUGGAUUAAGUGAAGAGUGUGAGCUAGAGAACUUGGUGCUGCCAUCAUCAGCUCGUCGACAAUGACACUAUAACCGAGAAAUUUAAUAUGUAUAGAUCUACACGUAUUUAAAAUGUCUACUUCUCUGUACAGGAGCAAUGGCUAAUAUCCAGCUAUCCCAACAGUGCUCCUCUUGGCUAUACUAACGGACGAGACUGGACAGUUUGAGACACAGGACUGGAGUAUGACCUGCUCAUUCGAGCGUUGCUGGGUAGCUCAGAGACAUCAAGAGAAUCUACGUUUUCUCAAGCAAUGAGUUACGAGUUGGGGCCUAGAAUCAGAGAAGUCCAGCAGCCUGCUAAAUCUUUUUGAAACGUAAUUUGAAGGCAUUCAAUCAUCCUGAAGUUGCCCUGGGUCACUGUAAUUGUGCUGCAGCACAACUGGCAACUCCCCAGGCCUUUGUGAAGCAGCUCCCUAUGUGCAUCUUUUGUGUACUCACUCUGUGCAUUUUCUGUGUACAAAUUUCCAUUAUUGAUUUAUUAAAUAUUUUUGCCGACCACAAA